UUCUGCUGAUGUCGAUGCGUGCUCUGUGCUGAUUUGCUGACGCACUCGCAUUGCCUCUCGACACGUAUGGAAACACAUAUACACAAAAAAAACGGGAAAAGAAAACGAACACCAGCCCUUUCGUGCCACGGCAGGUUACACAUCGUCCUAUGAAGGUGCGCACACGCACCAGUAAACAUUACCCAUCACCCACACAGUAAGCGAAGCGUGCUUCCACACAAACGCCUGUGAAACUUUUUAAAAGUGAACGGAGCCGCCACCAUUACUCUUUUCGUUGCUUCCCUUUUUUUCAGCUUCUUCGUUGCCCACCGCCCCUGAGGCCUCGCCGCGGGAUUCACUUGCGCCCGGACGUUACUUCUUCAUGUACAACACACAUACACGUAACCAAUAAAAGCUCUGUAAUUCCGCAGAGCUUGUCGAAGAGCGCACCGUCUCGCACUCACGAACGUGGCGCGUCUGCGUCUCCCUCUCCCUCUUCAGUCGUUAGCGUUCCACUCCUUGAUGACAGUUUGGCCACUCUUUCUCAUGCGCUCCACUACUUCAUCUGCCUCUCUCUCGCUGUAUGUCUGUGGUCGCCGCUGCCUCUCUUUUUUCUUUUCUGUGCCUUUGAUUCACGGUAUUUUUGCGAGGCCAGCGCGAGCCUUUUUGUGUGGCCUUCUCGUCGCACUCUUCCUUGCCCCAUCCCCUCCCUUCCCCUUCUCUGUUUAACGGCCGUGACGCUCUUCUUCGUUUCUCUUUCUUUGGCGUGCUGCUCGCACAUCAUCUCAAGACUUGUGCUGUUACGGAGCGCGCGCACCUUCACUCCACAGGGCACACGCCUACAUCGACACACACACACACACACACACACACACACACACACACGACACAUAUAGUGAUAUUUUGCUGCACCACGAAGCAGAAUAUCAAAAAGGCAAACCAGCAAGGGAGAGAGAGCUGGUCAUCAUUACCAUACUCUUGCUCGGGCAGAUUUUCGUUGCGGCGGUCAGCUCAGCUGGACUCAGCCAUGGGCAAGCUAACCGUCAAGGUUCAUAAAUGCGAACUCUACCGUCCGGUGAGCAGCGGUAACUGCGCCGUCAAUCCGCGUGUCACCAUUGUUGUGGACGGCACUUAUCGGUUCCAGACAAAUAUCAAGAAAAACACGUUUGACCCAGAGUUUCGUGACUCCUUCGUUGUGGGCAACACGCACCGGCUAGCCGUGAUUGAGGUGUCCGUCCACGAUGUCCAGGAGCCGUCCGGCUUGGUGUUGCCCGGCAUCGGCGUCUUGGCAGCAAAGAGGGGCUUGGUGCGGGAACUCAACGGCGUCAGGAUGGACGAAGGCGAAGGCGUCGGCGCCUCCACGGCCGGCCCCACAGGUGGUGGUGGCUCCAGCGGCAUCAGCAGCGGUACAUCGUCAUCGUUCAAGGCGCGGUUGCCGGUGUUGCUAGGGCGGUGUUACAUCUCGAUUGAGCGUUUGGUGCACCACGAACGGAAGCGCCGCAAGUACUACCUCGCCACCCCACUUCCACCCUCGUCUGCCACGGCCACGGCAGGGAGCAACGGAUGUGCGACUGCUGCCAGCGUCGCCGCGAACGCGAUCGCGGCCGGCGCGUCCCCAGCGACGAUGGCGAGCGACGUUGGUCCCUCGUUUCUGCAGCAGGCCCUUCCGACAGGAAUCGCCGGUACGAUUACAAUCUCUCUCGAGUCCGACUCUCUCGGCGAGCCCCCUUCGGAGUUGAGCCUCAACGAGCCACUCGAGACCGCGUAUGUGCGACGUUUGCGUCGCUUUCUGAUGUGCUACGAUCCGCCGAAGGUGGCCAUGCUGGAUGUGAUGAUGGCGCACGUGCGCGACACCACGGAGGUGGGCCCACACAACAACAGCAGGCGCCGCUACAGUAACAGCAACGGCACAGGUACCGUGGCGCUGGCGGCCAGCAGUGCGCCAGCGUCGCGGAUUCAUAAACAGGACCGAUCGAGCGCCACAUCAGCGACUUCGGGCACCACCACACCGCUGCGCCCCGGUGCCGACAGCGUCACAUCGCCAACCGGUGGCGCAUCAACCCUGCUAAUGAGCUCGCACGACCAAGUUGACUCACUGAUGUGGAAUCCGUCGAAUAACUGUCCGAACCGCGUCCUGCAGCUCGACCACAAGAGGAGCCCGCCCAGCAGCAACGGUUCACCCCCCUUUGUCGCCGCUCUCCGAACGCGCAGCGUGUGCCUCGGUGGCCGAGCAGAGCUGACGGCAGACCUCCCUGAUGAGCGAGAAACCUUCGAGGGAAUGAUGAACCGACUUUGCGCUGAGUACCACGCGAGCGAGCCGGGCGACUUCCGCGUCGUGCUACGGGUUGAAGGUUGCACAAACAUCAACAAGGAGACCUGGAAUCAGUCGCUUAUCGGGUCCGACGACGUCUUCGUCAUCUUCCGCAGCGAGUCGGAAGAGUUUGAGACGAACAUGGUCACGCUGCAGAACACCGUCGUUUGGUCGGAGGCGAACACCGUUGCCAUGGACGUUGUGAAUCCACAUCGCUUCUACGUCACGGUCAUAUUGAUGGGCCGCAGCGGGUCCAAGACGUACGAGAUUGGCCGCUGCAACGUCAGUGCGGCGCCUCUCUCGAACGGGUACGUCUCGCGCCGAAACAUGUUUCUGUGUAUGGCGGAGAGCGUGACGCGAGUGGCGGUGAACGGCGUGGUGCAUCUCCUCGUGCGCCCCGUCAACUUCAGCCUCACUCCGCCUGACAUGGCGGAGAGCGUCGACGAUUUCUACGACCGACUCGGCCGCUUCUUUAAGCGGUACGACCCCCUCCAGCUGCCCAUGGUGGAUGUGCUGGCGCGGGCCCGCCUACGUGAUCACGACACCUACAUGAAGGAUCUGGUAAUCCAGUACGGCCGUGAACCGGGCACGGUACGCAUGCUGGUCGCCGUGGAGUCCCUCAUCUCACUGCGCGAGACAGCCGACAGGGAUCUCAGCGGCCAGGACGUUCGCGUCCUUCUCACGAUGGGCUCCUGCGGCGUGCGCACCAAGACGUUUGCGGUGCGCCAGUUCGCGCCUACCAAUGUUCGCGAGAAUUACGUCUUUGACGUCGUGCGAGAGACCGACCUGAUUCGGAUCGAGGUGGUGAAUGCGCGAGACGAUAACCUCGUAUACGGCCGCGUCGACUUCAGCUGCCUGAAUACGCAGCGCAGUGUCAUGAACAAGCGCGACCUGUACCUGGUUGGCGCAGCUGGGACGCGAGAUGCGUAUUUCAGCGGCAUCGUGCGCGUGAGCCUCUACAGCGACGAGGUGGGGCACAACUACGAGGUGGACAUGAAGCUGGAGGACGCCUUCACCGGGCGACUGCGCCGCUACGUGUACCGCCGCAUCCCUGAGAGCCUGCACCGUGUGAACCUGGCGGUCGCAACGGUAUUCGACAUAGAAUCCUUCAUGGCGCAGCUGGCUGUCGAGUACGGCGACGAGGACCCCACCUAUGCUCUCUACUUCACCGUCGUCGGAUGCCGUCAACUGCGCUCUGGCUUUGGCGGCAUCAACCCUUACGUGGUGGUGCGUGUCGGCAUCGAUGCCUAUCAGACAAAGACGGCGAGGGCGAACGAGGAGCCUGACUACUUCGAGUUCUGCGAGUUCUAUUACGAUCGGCCGGAGGGUAUGGCGAUCACUCUCGUGGUGAUGGAUCAGGCUGACAUCGGCAGGGACGAGGAGGUUGGCCGUGCGGUGAUCCCGCUGGCCAACGUGCAGCCGUCGAGGCAGUACAACGAUUGGCUGCCGCUCCUCUCCGAGACGAAGAGCGGCAAGGUGCGGGAGGUGGGCACGAUCGGGUUCAAGUACACCGUGGUCGACCUAAACCUGGUGGACCGCACCCGGGCUCGCCUCAUCAAGGAGCAGCACCGUGAGCGUAGUGCACGUAGGCCUAGCUUGGCGAAGGGAAGAAGCGAGAGCCGACUCACGAGUUUAGCGCCAUCAGGGACCAGCGGAGCCGACUUCCUGAACUCCACCUGGAGCACCAACGCGAACGCCAGCUCUGGGUUUGCACAUCGGUGGAACACCUUCAAGAGGUACCUCCUGCAGACCCCCCUCAUGGCGUACUCAACGCGGACGCUUAGCAUGGGUAACAGUGCCGGCGAUGAGUCAGACCGCUUCGAGCAAAGCAUGAGCGAAAGCACGACACUCAUCAUGGCAGGGCAGGACGCGAGCCUCUUCAAGUCUGGCCGCUCCGUUACCAGUCGCCUGCCGACCAUGAACCUGAUGGAUCUCGGCAUCAGCACUGUCGAGGAGUUCUGCACCGCCGAGGUCAGUGAGCUGCAUUCCGCGGGGUAUUCCGAGACGGAUGCGGACCUGCCCGCCUCGCUGGAAAUGACGUACCGACCGCCGACCCACGAAAGGGAUACGCUGACUGGGCCCUGCUCCUCCGUCAACGGCGAGGGUGGGGCGGAGAGUGGCAAGGCGGCGCGCAUGCAACUAAGCGUGCGCCUACUAAGCUGCACAAACCUCUUUAAGCCUGGACACAACAUGCCGAACCCGUACGUGCUACUCUCUACCAUUUCCGAGUCCCACCGGUCGCGGGUGCAAUUCUGCACCACAGAGCCGCGGUUCAACGAAACCUUUCUGUUCACCGUUGAAGACCCCCAAAUCGACUAUCUCACCGUCACCGUUCUCACUGACACGCCUUACGGGUUGAGGAAGCUGGGCCACUGCACGCUGUCGAUGCGCAACGUGCAGCGCGGCACGAUGCGCACACGGUGGACGUCGCUUGUCAUCCAUCCUUUUGAGCCAGCCGCGAUGGAGUGCGGCUUCGUGUACCUCUCGCUCGGUGCUAUCAACUUCGGCAUAAACUAUCUACCUUCCGUGGAAGCCGAGAACCGGCUACGGGAGCAGAUCCGCGAGUACCUCACCCUGCACGCGCGGCGGCAGCUCCACCGCUUGGAGUGGUACGUCGGAGAGUUCUCGCAGCUUGAGAGCAUCCUGCUCGGUGGCUGGUUCCGCGAUAGCGGUAACGACGCCGGUGCCGACGACACGGGCACGCGCGUCGCCGACUUGGAGGUGACGGUGCUCGGCGUGUCAAACCUCUACUGCGGUGGCUUUCUCGCCGAGGGUAGCUGCGUCGUGAAGGCGAAGGUGGAUGGCCAAACGCGAGCCAAGACAAGGCCGAUCACCGGUGCUCAGGGCAGCUUUGUCGUGCCGGAGGGUCAAGACUCGCUGCGCUUCACCGUUCCCGAGCCGAUGACGACGCUAGUGCGGCUGAGCGUCGUGCUGAAUGGUAAAACGGGUGCCGGCGAGUGCUACGUAUCCUUGGCGGAUCUCCACCGCGGCGUGGCGAAGGAGCGCACGCUGAUGCUGGUAAUGGAUUCACGCUCCUCGCAUGCCGAGGCGGUGGGGUUCAUCCGCAUCUCCGUCUUUUGCAGCAACUACGGCAGCUCCGCCCCGGCCCCGACAGAGGAGGAGCUGGCGCUGCACUCGCGCCUGACCCGGUUUUUCUACUACUACAUCCCGACGGAGCUGGCGAUGGUGGACGUCAAGUACGCAACAACUCUGAAUGUGGCGGCAUACCUGAGCCGUAUGGUAGAGAAGUACGGCCCAGAACCGGGCAAUUACCGCCUUCGCUUCAGGGUGGACCGCUGCCGCAACCUUGUUUUCAAGAAUGACAACACACCGCUGCACGUCUUCUGCAUUGUCCGCGCCGGGUUGCAGGAGUUUCAGAGCUCGAUUGUGGAGGGCCAUAGCGAGUGCGUAUUCGGCGAGAGCUUUGACCUUAUCAUCGGCCUCCCGCAGCAGGAAAAGGUGGAGCUGAUUCUGAUGCGAUAUUACCCAUCGAAGCAGGUGGAGCUUGGCCGCACGCAGCUGGAGCUGCGUGCGUUGCGGCGAGCGGAGGAGAACAGUAUGGAGCUGGCGCUUGUCAGUAACGCUGGCACAAAGGCGGCGGGUGUUUCCGGCAUCCUGAAGGUUUCCUCCUUCCCAGUCGACUUUGGCCGCGAUGGCGGGAUGCACUUACGGACGCAAUCGACGCUAGCGUACGGCCUCGAUGGGCACUCGGCCUUGGCGCAGACGAUGUGCCUCUUCUCCUCGCCGACUCGAAUGGGGGCUGCCAACACAGUUUCGGGUCCGCGCAGCAGCGCGCCGAGCGACCACGACGCUUUGAAGGAGCCGCUAGUCACCGAGCGCAAGACGCCGCCGCCGAGCGCAUCGCGCAUGAUCUCCACCUUCCUCAAUGACAGCCUCGGGGAGCAAGGCGGGACGGUGCCGCCCACGGUCCGCGGUAGCACCUCGGCCUCCGUCACCAUCGUCGGGUUUGCUGGGCUGAACAUGCGCGAUGCCCAAAUUUACAUUCGCGUUUCGGAACACGACAAGACGCUGUUCAAGACGAAGCCUAUCCCCGCUGAGCAACUGGUUGCCUUGGAGGCGAGCACGGCCACCUUCACGAUUGACAACGUGGCCGCUAACUACGACAAGCAGUACACGCUGAAGCUCGGAUUUCGAAAGCUACUCGGCGCCGAGGCCCUCUGCCACGCCGAUUUCUGUGUCUUGCGCUGCCCCGCCGGAAAGACCGUAGAGAAGCGCCUGCGUCUCUACGACGUGAACUCGCAGUACUUGGGCAUCUGUCGUCUCAGCAUAACACUGCCGCCGAUCCAUCUGCCGGCGCUGCAGUGGCAGCACCUCUCUCCUGCCGUCUUUGAACCGCUCAUGGACGACGUUGCGUCGCUGGUGUCCACCUACAUGCCGAAGGAUUUGCGGCGGUUGGAUCUCAUCUUGUGUCAUGCCCCGGACAUCCGUCGACUGCAUCGCGCGUUGAGGCUGCAGCUCGCGCCCAGCGUGGUGGCGACGGUGUACGUGGCGAUCCAUUCCGUCGACCUGCACUCCGCGACGGUGCGGCACUCGUGCGUUGUGACGGCGUCUGUCGGGCACUUCACCUCUGAAGCGGUGCGGCGGCAGCUUGGUUCGUCGCAGGUUUACCCAUACGGUAUGUCCAAGGAGGGCAUCUCCAACCUAGACUUCCCGCUGCUGCGCAUCGACAUCAGCGCCACUGGACCUGCCGCCAUCUUGACGCUGUGCGUCUGCGACCGCGCCUCCAAGGCAAAAUCGGAGGAAGUUGGUCGCACUGUGGUGUCGCUGCGAGCCUUGCUCACGCCUGCCGUCUUUGACAUGUCUGAAAAGGUGCAGGUGCCGCUUGUAUCGGUGAGCCACGCUGCGAAUCGCGUGCAUGCAAGCCUGGCCGGCACCGUCACGUUCAGUCUCAUGCCGCCUGCGUUCGAGAGCUAUGGCGCUUCCGUGAGGUUCGCCUCGAGCGUUGUGGAGGGCUUUGACCGCGCCUACGUCCGCUACUACACAGAUCGCAUUUGUCGCCUGCUGAGCCACUACGACGCCAACUCGCUGGUGGACAUCCACUCACGCCUGUACGAGUCGUACGUUUCCUGCAAAUGCUGGGAGACCGGACUACCAGCUUGCUUGUCCGAGCUGGUUGUCCGCUGGGGACCGGAACUGGACAGUUUCGAGCCGCCCCCUGCGCUGAAGAGUCGCGAUGGCGCGCAACAGAGCAGGAUAGCGGCAAUGGAAAAGAGCGAAAAUAAGGAGUCAGGCCCAUAUGAGCUAAUGCCCAACGCUGAGCGGCAGCCGGCAAGAUGAGAAGGGUACCCAAAUGUCGAAGGAUGACAGCAGUGGAGUGGUGUGGUGCGGUGGGAGGGGAUACGGGAGAUAAGGGACGUACUCGGCCUGCGAGCCUUUCUUGUGACGUUGUAUGGGCACAAAGCGCUGAUGGCGAAGCAGUGCAUGUCUCUCUCUCUCUAUCCCUGCCCUUGGCCGCACAGUUGUUCUUGGGCGUUCUUCCCAUGCCUCCUUUGAGUCGUUGCUGCGGUGCCGAUGUCGCGCUACACAUGACUGCUUUAUGCCUGCAUGCGUUGGUGUAUGCAUGUUUUCGUGUGCAUCUAUGUAUGUGUGUGUGUGUGUGUGUCCGCAUGUGUGCCUCAACGAUACUGCCUGAACCUUUUCUUUGCGAUCUUCUUUUCAUCUUCUUCCUCCUUUGCUUCUUACCUCUCUCUGAUGAACGUUGUGUAUUCUCAGAGCUGCGCACAAGGACGGAGAGAGUAGGCGGGGGGUGGGUGGUGCUUUACGUUGUCUCGGCGUUGUUAUUCGGCGUGCCUGAUUCCUCCUUUCGCCCAUGCUGCCACCCUUUUGGUGGUGUGAGCGUGGAGGAACACCCGCCUGGCGUUUCGCCCUUUUGGUGCUGUCGCUGCUGUUCUGUUUUUUUUUUCUUUUAUGUGUGUGUGUGUGUUUCUGCUGUGGCCUCUUUGGUGAUCACUCCUGCGCUCACUCAGCCUCUCCGGGCUCUUCUUUCGUCUUUGCUUGCCCGUCGCCCGCCAGAGUCCUCUUUCUCCGCAAUCAAUCGGCACGCCGGUGACUUGCUUCUCCUGUCGAGGCAUUGCCUGCCCUUCGGCGACAUUGCCAGCUCCUCUUUUGCAGGGUCACUCCUCGACUUCCCUCUUUCUCUUGCUGUUCGCCUCGAAGAGGACCGCUUCGCCUUUUCCCCCGUCGCUUCCGUCAAAGCCCUGAUGACGAGAGGGGUGUGGGCACACCUCUCAGCGCGUGGUAGCUCAUAAUCCAGCGACCCCGCAAUACUGCGUGGAGGGAAGCCAAGCCGGAUCCCCCGUUAUAUAGCCCUCUGCCAAGUGCCGAGCCGCUUCUGGCGGGCAACAGGGUCACGUGCCCGCAACGCAGGGGGUGAUCAGAGCUAUGUAUCGCUAUGGAUGCCGGCGGCCAGGCCCUGGACGGCGUGGCAUCAGAGCGGCCUGCGACUGUGCACACGCCUGUGCCAUCCAUACGGUAGGCAGGGCGCCAGCGUGGCUCGAGCGUAUCCCACGCGGCCCUCACACUGCCCUGCUGGUGGUGCAGGGAGAGGCUGAGCCGCCCCAAAGGGGACACACCAGGCCACGGCCCUCGAAAGGGAGGGGGAAGCGUGGAGGUGGGGGCAGAGGCCGUGCUGAGAUGACGGAGUCGGCGCAUUACCGCAACGGGUGCCUAGGGUUUCUUCGCACUACGCUAAUGGAGCCUGUGGCGAGCCGUAGGUUAGAGUGUACUGGAGCUCUUGGAUGGAGAAAAACGGACCGAUUAAACAUCUUCUGCUAGCGGUUGUGAACACCACGGAGGCAUGGGUACAAAUACAUACACGCGCACCCAAAGCUCUUCUGGACAUUUUGUCGUGUGCACUCAUGUGCGUUUGCGCGUAGGCGUUGAGAGGUUCUCUGUGCUUUAUUUUUGCUGCGUGCGUGUGUGCGUGUCUUUCUUGUAUUCGCCUGCUGCUUCUCCUUUUCUUGCCUUGAGUGCUUUCGCGUCCGAAGACUCAGACGUUUAUGACUUUGCUUAUGUUUUCCUACUCGUGUCGAUUAUUCUGCCGGCGGCCGUCGCUGAUAUUUCUACCCAGCCAACGGCCUGCCUGCCUGCAACCAUGCCUGCUUCCACGUGUCAAAGAAUGUGAGCGCCCGCCGUGGCCGUCACCCAAGUGCAAGUGAUCCAUUGUGCCGGCCUUGUGCAUAGUAGUGGCGUGCUACCCGACUCAUAUUC
rnacentral:misc_RNA from 1 species